AGCCAGCCGCCCCAGCUAAUGCAGACGGGGGUGAGGCAGCUCAGCAAGGCCGUCGCAAAGCAAAAUAUUUGUGACGUCUAUUGAUAAACGAAACGGAUAUCCCCAUAUCAAAACAAUUACAUUGAGCUCCAUGAAACUGACGAUUUCUGGAGCUAUGGCAAGUGCAUAACAAACACUCUGAUAUAUUGUUGCAUGAUAUUAAUUAUAUAGCCGGCUGUAGAAUGAUUAUAAAUGACUAUUUGGUUAGCAUCGUUUACGAUUCAACUUUUUACAUAAGUUCGACGGGGAAAAUAUUUUUUUUUAAAUGUUUGGAAUAAUAAAGUUAUCUAUGUAUUAUAUUUGAGCAGGGAAAUUUAGGGUUUCAGCAUGCCAUACAAAUUUACCUAAGCUUAUAUUAGUACUUACCUAAGCUUGUUUAGUACCCAUUUUAAGCCUGGGAUGCUUAGAUUAAAGAUCGAUAAUAAUUUUGAAUAAUGGGAAGUUUUUUUAGGUACUCACUUAGACAUGCAGUUAAAAUUUCCCCUGAAAGCACUAUUAGUGAUAUCAUUUAUAUAGCAACUCUUAUUUACUCUAGUUUUACUAAAUUAACAAACAAUUGUCUUAUUAAAAAUGAGUGAAAUAAAUAAUUAGUAUUAUUGAAUUAGUAACUCACGUG